rnacentral:rRNA from 1 species
GAUGAACGCUGGCGGCGUGCCUAAUACAUGCAAGUCGAGCGAACGGACGAGAAGCUUGCUUCUCUGAUGUUAGCGGCGGACGGGUGAGUAACACGUGGAUAACCUACCUAUAAGACUGGGAUAACUUCGGGAAACCGGAGCUAAUACCGGAUGAUAUUUUGAACCGCAUGGUUCAAAAGUGAAAGACGGUCUUGCUGUCACUUAUAGAUGGAUCCGCGCUGCAUUAGCUAGUUGGUAAGGUAACGGCUUACCAAGGCAACGAUUCAUAGCCGACCUGAGAGGGGGAUCAGCCACACUGGAACUGAGACACGGUCCAGACUCCUACGGGAGGCAGCAGUAGGGAAUCUUCCGCAAUGGGCGAAAGCCUGACGGAGCAACGCCGCGUGAGUGAUGAAGGUCUUCGGAUCGUAAAACUCUGUUAUUAGGGAAGAACAUAUGUGUAAGUAACUGUGCACAUCUUGACGGUACCUAAUCAGAAAGCCACGGCUAACUACGUG